UUAAAGUUGUUGCAGUUAAAAAGCUCGUAGUUGAACCUUGGGCCUGGUUGGCCGGUCCGCCUCACCGCGUGCACUGGUCCGACCGGGUCUUUCCUUCUGGGGAGCCGCAUGCCCUUCACUGGGUGUGUCGGGGAACCAGGACUUUUACUUUGAAAAAAUUAGAGUGUUCAAAGCAGGCCUAUGCUCGAAUACAUUAGCAUGGAAUAAUA
rnacentral:rRNA from 1 species